rnacentral:rRNA from 1 species
GACGAACGCUGGCGGCGUGCCUAACACAUGCAAGUCAACUUGAAGGAAGGAGCAAUCUGACCUGGUGGUGGCGCAAGGGUGCGUAACGCGUAAGUAACUUGCCCCAAGGUAAGGAAUAACGUCGAGAAAUCGGCGCUAAUACCUCAUAAUGCAGCGGACCCGCAUGGGUAUGUUGUCAAAGGUUUAACCGCCUUGGGAUAGGCUUGCGUCUGAUUAGCUAGUUGGUGUGGUAACGGCACACCAAGGCUACGAUCAGUAACUGGUCUGAGAGGAUGAUCAGUCACACUGGGAACUGAGACACGGUCCAGACUCCUACGGGAGGCAGCAGUGAGGAAUA